rnacentral:lncRNA from 1 species
GCAGGAUUGACCCAGAAUGACCUUAAAUUCUCACUGCCUAAAGAUUGGGCUGUCUGGGAGGGGCCCAACCACCUUGUCCCUGCAGGAGGAAAUUGGUUCCAGGAUUCCUGAGGAUAUCAGAAUCUGUGGCUGCUCAAGUCUCGUAUACAAAAUGAGAAUUUGUAAUCAACUGCUGAAGCAUUUAUAUGGUCCUAUUUAGAACAUCCUGGGAUGCUCCUACUAUGUGGGAUCUUUUGGAGAAAAAAAUCCAUACCUGAGCAAGUGGAGAGAAGGGACCAGAUUCAGAGGAUACCCAUAAAAUGAUCUGCAAGGGAAAACAAGUUUCUGACCAAGCACGGUUACAACCACAUCUUCCUGGGACAAAUGAGGACAUGUAUCAAUUCCUCACCAACCUUCCAUACACCCCAGGCUUACCUAGGAACUGCCUUCAGCACACCAUGUCUACCAGAGUGGCGGUAUAUAAUCACUAUUCAACUCCACAGCCAGAGAGAGGUGCAGAAGCCAUCACAGGAAAUGACUAGAUGCCCCUGAGCUCUCUGUUGCUGCUGCCGUGCGGGUGACUGGGAAUCACAUAGUUAACUAAAAGCUUUUACUCAGCUUAAUUUCCUCUACUCUACAUGAUAAUUGCUCUGUUCAUUUUCGCUUUACCUUUAAAUUCAGGGCACAUGCACAAAGACAUAAUGGUGUAAGAGUGGAAAAGAGAAGAUGUAUUUUCUAAGCUGCCUGCAGUCUGACAAUUGUUUGAAUGUGUGUGUACAUUUAACAAGAUGGUAGAUUACAGCAUUACCUUAUCUUCAGGGUAAAACUGCCAUUCAGGAUCCAAAAAUCUCCUAAUGGUUUAUUGAAAUGGUUCCCUCUUGCAAUGCAUCAUCACAGUAGUUUAUGAUAAGGAGAAAAGUAUGUUCUGAUACAAAUCAAAUAAUGCCAAAUACAAAGAGUUGUAAGAGAAAUAGCUCACUUGGGAGAUAGAGAGAAUUGAAGAAAAUGUAUUGGGUGAGAGACGCUAACUAGACCUCUGGAAAGAGAAGUCAGCAAUGACCCAAAUGGGAUACUUGAUUCUCUUCAGUGGUCAAAAACCCUCAGGAGAAGGAUAAAUAGGUAUUUAUUAUUUGGUAUAGGACAUGAUAUUUUGAAAUACCUAUAUAUUAUGUAAUGGUUAA